rnacentral:SRP_RNA from 1 species
GAGUGGGCUAGCUCGGAUGGUUCGGCGUCAUCUGUAGCCCAAAAACGCCGACACGUGGGGAGCGAAGCAGAGAGAAGGCAUUUUGAUAGUUUGAUCAUCUUGCAUUUCAGACGAUGAGAUUCCGUCCUUCGGGGUUAGCGGCUUUAUGCUAUUAAUUGGAGAAUUAAUGGUAUAUCCUUGCCGUGAGCACCGGUUCAGGCCCGGAAGGGAGCAAACCUAUCGCGGACGUAUGACGCUCGAAGGGGUGCGGGAUGGAGAAUGAACUGCGAGCUCUGGCAAGCGCUCAUAUGUCGACUUUUCUGCGAGCCCACAC